AUUGAACGCUGGCGGCAUGCUUUACACAUGCAAGUCGAACGGUAACAGGUUAAGCUGACGAGUGGCGAACGGGUGAGUAAUGCAUCGGAACGUGCCCGAUCGUGGGGGAUAACGCAGCGAAAGCUGCGCUAAUACCGCAUACGAUCUGAGGAUGAAAGCGGGGGACCGUAAGGCCUCGCGCGAUCGGAGCGGCCGAUGUCAGAUUAGGUAGUUGGUGGGGUAAAGGCUCACCAAGCCGACGAUCUGUAACUGGUCCGAGAGGACGACCAGCCACACUGGGACUGAGACACGGCCCAGACUCCUACGGGAGGCAGCAGUGGGGAAUUUUGGACAAUGGGCGAAAGCCUGAUCCAGCAAUGCCGCGUGCAGGAAGAAGGCCUUCGGGUUGUAAACUGCUUUUGUACGGAGCGAAAAGGCUCUCUCUAAUACAGGGGGCUCAUGACGGUACCGUAAGAAUAAGCACCGGCUAACUACGUGCCAGCCGCCGCAGUAA
rnacentral:rRNA from 1 species